UACGGGGGGAGCAAGCGUUGUUCGGAUUUACUGGGCGUAAAGGGCGCGUAGGCGGCGCGACAAGUCACUUGUGAAAUCUCUGGGCUCAACCCAGAACGGUCAAGUGAUACUGUCGUGCUAGAGUGCGGAAGGGGCAACUGGAAUUCUUGGUGUAGCGGUGAAAUGCGUAGAUAUCGGGAAGAACACCUAUGGCGAAGGCAGCUCUCUGGGACGGUACUGACGCUGAGACGCGAAAGCGUGGGGAGCGAACAGG
rnacentral:rRNA from 1 species